rnacentral:rRNA from 1 species
UACAGAGGUCCCGAGCGUUGUUCGGAUUCACUGGGCGUAAAGGGUGCGUAGGUGGUGAGGUAAGUCGGAUGUGAAAUCUCCGGGCUCAACCCGGAAAUGGCAUUGGAAACUACCUUGCUGGAGGAUUUGAGGGGGAUUGGAAUACUUGGUGUAGCAGUGAAAUGCGUAGAUAUCAAGUGGAACACCAGUGGCGAAAGGCGAAUCCCUGGAAAAUACCUGACACUGAGGCACGAAAGCUAGGGGAGCAAACAGG